GGUUAAGCGACUAAGCGUACACGGUGGAUGCCCUGGCAGUCAGAGGCGAUGAAGGACGUGCUAAUCUGCGAUAAGCGCCGGUAAGGUGAUAUGAACCGUUAUAACCGGCGAUUUCCGAAUGGGGAAACCCAGUGUGAUUCGUCACACUAUCAUUAACUGAAUCCAUAGGUUAAUGAGGCGAACCGGGGGAACUGAAACAUCUAAGUACCCCGAGGAAAAGAAAUCAACCGAGAUUCCCCCAGUAGCGGCGAGCGAACGGGGAGGAGCCCAGAGCCUGAAUCAGCAUGUGUGUUAGUGGAAGCGUCUGGAAAGGCGCGCGAUACAGGGUGACAGCCCCGUACACAAAAGCGCAUGUGCUGUGAGCUCGAUGAGUAGGGCGGGACACGUGGUAUCCUGUCUGAAUAUGGGGGGACCAUCCUCCAAGGCUAAAUACUCCUGACUGACCGAUAGUGAACCAGUACCGUGAGGGAAAGGCGAAAAGAACCCCGGCGAGGGGAGUGAAAAAGAACCUGAAACCGUGUACGUACAAGCAGUGGGAGCACAGGUUUACCUGUGUGACUGCGUACCUUUUGUAUAAUGGGUCAGCGACUUAUAUUCUGUAGCAAGGUUAACCGAAUAGGGGAGCCGGAGGGAAACCGAGUCUUAAUUGGGCGUUAAGUUGCAGGGUAUAGACCCGAAACCCGGUGAUCUAGCCAUGGGCAGGUUGAAGGUUGGGUAACACUAACUGGAGGACCGAACCGACUAAUGUUGAAAAAUUAGCGGAUGACCUGUGGCUGGGGGUGAAAGGCCAAUCAAACCGGGAGAUAGCUGGUUCUCCCCGAAAGCUAUUUAGGUAGCGCCUCGUGAACUCAUCUCCGGGGGUAGAGCACUGUUUCGGCUAGGGGGCCAUCCCGGCUUACCAACCCGAUGCAAACUGCGAAUACCGGAGAAUGUUAUCACGGGAGACACACGGCGGGUGCUAACGUCCGUCGUGAAGAGGGAAACAACCCAGACCGCCAGCUAAGGUCCCAAAGUCAUGGUUAAGUGGGAAACGAUGUGGGAAGGCCCAGACAGCCAGGAUGUUGGCUUAGAAGCAGCCAUCAUUUAAAGAAAGCGUAAUAGCUCACUGGUCGAGUCGGCCUGCGCGGAAGAUGUAACGGGGCUAAACCAUGCACCGAAGCUGCGGCAGCGACACUGUGUGUUGUUGGGUAGGGGAGCGUUCUGUAAGCCUGUGAAGGUGGCCUGUGAGGGUUGCUGGAGGUAUCAGAAGUGCGAAUGCUGACAUAAGUAACGAUAAAGCGGGUGAAAAGCCCGCUCGCCGGAAGACCAAGGGUUCCUGUCCAACGUUAAUCGGGGCAGGGUGAGUCGACCCCUAAGGCGAGGCCGAAAGGCGUAGUCGAUGGGAAACAGGUUAAUAUUCCUGUACUUGGUGUUACUGCGAAGGGGGGACGGAGAAGGCUAUGUUGGCCGGGCGACGGUUGUCCCGGUUUAAGCGUGUAGGCUGGUUUUCCAGGCAAAUCCGGAAAAUCAAGGCUGAGGCGUGAUGACGAGGCACUACGGUGCUGAAGCAACAAAUGCCCUGCUUCCAGGAAAAGCCUCUAAGCAUCAGGUAACAUCAAAUCGUACCCCAAACCGACACAGGUGGUCAGGUAGAGAAUACCAAGGCGCUUGAGAGAACUCGGGUGAAGGAACUAGGCAAAAUGGUGCCGUAACUUCGGGAGAAGGCACGCUGACACGUAGGUGAAGUGAUUUACUCAUGGAGCUGAAGUCAGUCGAAGAUACCAGCUGGCUGCAACUGUUUAUUAAAAACACAGCACUGUGCAAACACGAAAGUGGACGUAUACGGUGUGACGCCUGCCCGGUGCCGGAAGGUUAAUUGAUGGGGUCAGCGCAAGCGAAGCUCCUGAUCGAAGCCCCGGUAAACGGCGGCCGUAACUAUAACGGUCCUAAGGUAGCGAAAUUCCUUGUCGGGUAAGUUCCGACCUGCACGAAUGGCGUAAUGAUGGCCAGGCUGUCUCCACCCGAGACUCAGUGAAAUUGAACUCGCUGUGAAGAUGCAGUGUACCCGCGGCAAGACGGAAAGACCCCGUGAACCUUUACUAUAGCUUGACACUGAACAUUGAGCCUUGAUGUGUAGGAUAGGUGGGAGGCUUUGAAGCGUGGACGCCAGUCUGCGUGGAGCCGACCUUGAAAUACCACCCUUUAAUGUUUGAUGUUCUAACGUGGACCCGUAAUCCGGGUUGCGGACAGUGUCUGGUGGGUAGUUUGACUGGGGCGGUCUCCUCCUAAAGAGUAACGGAGGAGCACGAAGGUUGGCUAAUCCUGGUCGGACAUCAGGAGGUUAGUGCAAUGGCAUAAGCCAGCUUGACUGCGAGCGUGACGGCGCGAGCAGGUGCGAAAGCAGGUCAUAGUGAUCCGGUGGUUCUGAAUGGAAGGGCCAUCGCUCAACGGAUAAAAGGUACUCCGGGGAUAACAGGCUGAUACCGCCCAAGAGUUCAUAUCGACGGCGGUGUUUGGCACCUCGAUGUCGGCUCAUCACAUCCUGGGGCUGAAGUAGGUCCCAAGGGUAUGGCUGUUCGCCAUUUAAAGUGGUACGCGAGCUGGGUUUAGAACGUCGUGAGACAGUUCGGUCCCUAUCUGCCGUGGGCGCUGGAGAACUGAGGGGGGCUGCUCCUAGUACGAGAGGACCGGAGUGGACGCAUCACUGGUGUUCGGGUUGUCAUGCCAAUGGCACUGCCCGGUAGCUAAAUGCGGAAGAGAUAAGUGCUGAAAGCAUCUAAGCACGAAACUUGCCCCGAGAUGAGUUCUCCCUGAGACUUAGAGUCUCCUGAAGGAACGUUGAAGACGACGACGUUGAUAGGCCGGGUGUGUAAGCGCAGCGAUGCGUUGAGCUAACCGGUACUAAUGAACCGUGAGGCUUAACCUU
rnacentral:rRNA from 3 species